rnacentral:lncRNA from 1 species
UUUUUUGGAAAAGUAAAUCAUUUUCUACAUAUUCAAAAGAUUAAUAAGGAUGUGAAGCUGAAAGAAAACUAAAAUGAGUGAACUCAACUGUAUUUCAAAUGAAUACACAUCCAUACUCAGGGGAUAAAAAGAAGUGAUCCAAGUAAUUAUGAGUAGAGCAUUUGAUUAUAUAUACUCACAGAACUGAGUAGGGUGAAGAGGGAGAACUUCAAAGAAAUCGAACUCUUUCUGGUAAAUCUCUCGGUUUGAGUGGUAUCAGGAACCAGUUCUGAAACUAUUUUAGAUCUAUAAUUGCGCUGCUCAAAUAAGUUAAAGUAUCAAUGCUGUGGGAAGCCAAUGUUCUCGCUGUAUAAGGGACAUAUAAAUAUGGAAAAGUGGAAAACAAGAAUGCAUUAGAAUUAGAAAUACUGCCGUGAACUAAGAGAUCUAAAAUCCAUAUAUGUGUGUUAUCAGUAUGCAUGUCUGCAUAUAUUUAGUUAUCAAUGUAGAUGUGUAUAUAAAUAUAGGCCUAAACUUCUGAGACCUCUCCUCUAAAAGCGCCUAAAAGCCAAGACCCCACAGUGAUGCACAGUCUACUACCUUAUGCACUAAUGUUCUAGUACCGAGACCUUGAUCUCUAAACCAUUUCCCCUGAAAACAAUCAGAGCUCUCAGAGAACUGCUAAAAGCCACCACUGUGGAAUAGAUCAGAGAUAAGCCUGUUUCAACCCCCUUUGCUGGAAAGCCUCAUUAAUGUGAUGGGGAAUGCCAUGCACUUCUACUAACCAAACCUGGACGAUUUGGACACCAAAAUAAUUGAGUAAUGAAUUAUAAACAAUGACAAGAAUAGAUAACCAUGGGCUCAUAUCAAUGAUAAAUGAGUGAAUGAAUAAGUAAAUCAAUCAGUCAUCAGAAUGGUUUUUGCUUACAGUGGAACCAUGACGCUGAAUGGAAGGGAGCUAGAAUUGGAAAGUCAGCAGUUUGCAACCAUUACGGAAAAAACUGUACCAGUCAAGAAUUAUCAAUGAUAUCUAGGUGGAAAUUUUGGUAAGGAGCAGAUAUUUGCAUGAUAUUAAAGUAUUUCCCCACUGACUUAUCAUAGUUACAAGGGAAAAAAAAAAAAAAAAAAAAAAAAAAAAGCUCUACAGCAGAGAAAUCUGACAACACUCUGAAUGAUCAAAAUUAACAUUCCCAAUGUGCCUUCAGCUGUAAUAGCCCAAGAAGGAUACAACAUUAUUUAUGGUGUAUUCUGGUUGUACUACAUAACCCAAAUCUAAUCAUGAGGAAACAGCAGACAAUCCCAAAUGAGGAGUGACAGACAGAUAAUGAAGGACUGUAUCAUUCAAAAACAUCAAUAUCAUAAAAGGCAAAGAAAGACUGACUGUGUGACCAUGUAGAAUUAAAGAAGGCAAAAGAGGAGUUCCCCAUCAUGGCUCAUCGGUUAAAGAACCCAACUAGUAUCCAUGAGGACAUGGGUUCAAUCCCUGCCCUUGCUCAGGAUCAAACCACACUCCCCAUGGCUACUAGUCAUUACUGCUGAGCCACAACAGAAAUUCCACAAUUAUUUUUCAUUAGAAAGGGCAGUUUCCUGCAGAUCACCAUAAAAAUGAAUGUAUUUAUAUAAAAAUCACUUUUUUAGUCUAAAUCUUCAUUCUACUACUAUUUCCAAAUGCCUCAACCAAUGGCACAAAACACCUUGACAUCUAUGGUAAUCAGGAAUUGUCUCCACCUUUAGUGUCUUUCAAGGCUGCAACUAUUAUUGCCAUGCUUCCACCCAAAAAAGACAUAUAAAGCCAGCAUCUUUCUCAAUGAUUUACUGAAAGCAGAAGCUCGUUUUAAUAAAACCAUCCCAAAACAUAAAAUUGAUUGAACCAACUGCUGUGGUGGGCAUACACAACAGCUGAUCAAAAUUAUUCAAGAUUUUUAUUCUUACAGAUUUUCUUUGAGGCUUUGAGAAUUUUUUUCCCAGUCUAUACUUUUAUCUUGACACUGAAAUCUCUGAGCUAGAGCAAAAAGGAUUUUUAAAUCUAUGGAAUAAAGUUUUAAACAAUAAAGUAAGUCAAUUCAAAAAAAUAAUAAAUCAGAUCACAUACAAAUUAAUGCAUAUACAAAAACUAAUAACCACUUUUCUAGAAUGUAUUUUGAGUAACAAUAAUUAAAAGUUUAAACAGAGUCACCUCUCAUGUUGUCAAAAAUUGUGCGGCUUUUCCUAGGUAUAAUAGCACUGCCACUUAGCAAAGUGUUACAUCAUCACACAUGAUAUAUUACCCUGAUUCCCUACAAAGGAAAACUUAGUACAAUUAGAAAUUAUUUCUCUUUAUAACUGGAUUUCUUGAUAUUAAACAUUUUAAGAUUUUUUUAUCUCAUUAAAAAACAGACAUUUAUGGUUUCAUUGCAUAUUAAAUGAUGCCUUUGACUUUUUAUAAGAAAGUAAUUUUAUAGUAUUUUUGUCACAGUGAAGGACAAAGAUAAGCCAACUGUUUACAUUCCUCUCCUUUAUGUUGUGUCUUUGAUCACUAACAAUGCUGCGUGAACAGCCAACAGAAGGCUGACAUUUCAUAAAAUAUGCAGUGAUAAAAACUAAUACUGUAGCAUCUGGGAGCGAUAUAUAAAAUGCAGAAAUACACCUAAUAACUGUGAUCUUAAAUUACAAGUUACUAAAAGCUAAAUAAAAAGCAUACCUAGGAAUUUAAAAAGUGGCAAGACUACAAAGGGGGUUUUGUAUUCCUAUUUCUAAAAACAAAGUUUUAAAAAUAAUUUAAGUCUAUAACACUUUUCCUGCUAUUCUAUACUUAAAAGCCAGCUACCUUCUAAGAACAAGGCAUUGGUAUAAUAUACCUUUCAACAACUGAAGAAUACAUUACAACAUCAUCAUUGAAAGGUACUAUAGAAAAUGCCGAAGAAAUUUCUUUUUCUCAGAUGUUUUUAAAUGUCAAAACUGAUGAGAAAGAAGCAACAUAUCACUUUUAAGACAUGAUGCCGGACUAUCACUAAAAUAAGUUUUAAAAACUAUAAUAAUUUAAACAAAUAUACUCUUAAUGCCUGUUCUAAUACAUUUUUUCACAACCUAAGCCUUAAAUUAAAAUCCUUGGUAUAUAACAGCAAAGUAAAUUGUGCUCGAGUAUGUUUAAAUAAUUUUUUUUUUAAUUUUAUUUUCCCACUGUACAGCAAGGGGGUCAGGUUGUUUAAAUAAUUUUAACUUUACUGCUAAACAUUUGUUUUUUUAAUAGUGGGAGGUAUAACUAAGGCACUCAGUAAAGACCAUCCAACAGCAAUCGUGUGAAUUAUCUUUACAGCUUUCAGUUUGAUAUUCCACCUAUAUUCAUCAAAAUCACAGUCCAGCAGAAGUGUUUUCAUCAGUUUUUUUUAAUAUAUAUGCUAAGGGGAAGGGAAAAAAUAAAUGCCAUAUUCAGCACUUCAAGAAUUCUGAAUUACACUUUACUAAAGAAAAUAUACAGCAUUAAGUAUGUGGGAGGCAAUUGUCCUUGUGCUUAUAAUUAGCAUCUGAAUUUAGGGAUUUCACUGCUUAAUGCACACCCACCCGCCUGUGAUUCUUACCAGGGCUUUUUAUGUCACUUAAUGGAGAUAAAUACUCUUUUCCC